ensembl:lncRNA
UAUAAUCGUUUUAUCUCAUAUAGACAUAUGCUCAUUUCAGAAAGCAUAUGUCUCAGUCCGUUUUUUUUUGAUAUGGAGUCUCACUCUGUCACCAGGCUGGAGUGCAGUGGUUCAAUCUCAGCUCACUGCAACCUCUGCCUCCUGGGUUCAAGCAAUUCUCUUGCCUCAGCCUCCUGAGUAGCUGGAACUACAGGCACAUGCCACCACACCUAGCUACUUUUUGUAUUUUUAGUAGAGACAGGGUUUCACCAUGUUGGCCAGGAUGGUCUCAAUCUCUUGACCUCGUGAUCUGCCCGCCUCGGCCUCCCAAAGUGCUGGGAUUACAGGCGUGAGCCACAGUGCCUGGCUGUCUUAGACUUUUUCUGUUGCUUAUAACAGAAUACUUGAAACUCAGUAAAUUAUAAAGAAACAAAAUGUAUUUCUUACAGUUGCAGAGACUGAGACGUCUAAGGGCAAGGGGCCACAUCUAGUGAAGGUCUUCUUGCUGGUGGGGAUUCUCUACAGAGUCCGAGGCAGCACAGGGCAUCGCAUGGCAUGGGAACUGAGUGUGCUAAUGUGCUAGCCAGAUCUUUCUUCCUCUGCUUAUAAAGCCACCAGUUCCCUUCCCACGAGAACCCAUUAAUCUAUGAUUAAUCCAUCCAUGAAGGCUGAGCCCUCAUGAUCCAAUCACCUGUUAAAGGCCACACCUCUCAGUUUUGGGGAUUAAGUUGCAACAUGAAUUUUGGAGGUGAUAUUCAAGCCAUAGCAGCAUGUUAGAAUUCACAUGAGUAAGAAUGAAAUUGUUACUGCAAUACAUUCAGGUGCCUCGACCAAUGAGAACAUUUCCUCAAUGUUCCUGAAUGCUGCUGUCUGUUUCUUUAUGUCAUGACAGCUGCUCUUCUCUGGUUUGAUCCCCUCCGUAGAUGCUGUGGGCUGGAAAGCUCAGAUGUGGAUAAAUUUGCACCCUCUAUGGGAUGUUCGCACCCCGUUUUAUGAUGAAUGCCUUGCAAUGCCGAACAAAGUAAGAGCCAACCCCCCGCAGUGGCAAAUCUCCCUGGUUCCACUCUCGAGUCUACUUGGAUUCUGCCCAAGAUGGAAAAGACCUGGAAGCUAUUCAAAGACUGGAUAAGUUGCCAAUUGGGUGGAAAACUGGAAGAAGAAAUUCCCGCAAGAAAUCUCAGCUUUCAGUAAUAAGUUCCAGAAGCUAAAGACAGAACAAACCAAUAGCUGUAAGUAUCUGCUUGCCAACAUUUAACUAAAAAUCUUGAAAGCCAAAGCCCCAGUAAGGGGCUUGUUCCGAAAUGAUUUUAAAACAUCUCAAACUGCUAAGUAUUCUUGAUCCAGGAACAUGUCUUUGAAGUAGGAUGUAAAUUCUAGACCUGGAAGUGUUUUUCAUUUCCCACGAGCUCAAGGCUAUUAACCUCUCAGGGGCAAUGAUUUUUCCCUAGGAGGAAAAAAAAAGGAAGUUUUUCUUUUCUUUUUAAAGAAGUAUCGUCCUCUAAAUUUUAAUUUUCUUUAGAUUUUUUUGAAUCAGGGCCAAAAGUCAGCAAUGUCCAUUUAAUGAUUUUAAAAAGAUCAUGGAUGAUGAGAUAGAUAAUAAAGUAAAGCAUAAAAAAGAUGAAUUACAGUGUGUGUGUGGUGUGUGUGUGUGUGUGUGUGUGUGUGCUUUCAGGAUUCAAGUCUAAUAAGGCAGGAAAGAGAUUAGUAACAACCUCAGUUUGGUGUGUGUGUGUGUGUGUGUGUGUGUGUGCGUGCUUGCAGGACUCAACUCUAAUAAGGCAGGAAAGAGAUUAGUAACAACCUCAGUUUGGUGUGUGUGUGUGUGUGUGUGUGUGUGUGCGUGCUUGCAGGACUCAACUCUAAUAAGGCAGGAAAGAGAUUAGUAACAACCUCAGUUUGGGGUGUGUGCGUGUGUGUGUGUGUGUGUGUGUGUGUGCUUGCAGGAUUCAACUCUAAUAAGGCAGGAAAGAGAUUAGUAACAACCUCAGUUUGGGGUGUGUGUGUGUGUGUGUGUGUGUGUGAAAGUUAUUCACCCCAUCUCAGAUAAUACAAUGGUGUAAGAGGUUGGGUAAGGGGACUAGGUAGCAAGAGAAAGCACAUGCUUCAAAAGUCCUAUCAUUUUGCAAAGAAAAAUUUGUGGGAAAAGGCAGAGAGAGGUCUUCUGUGGCUUGGGGAGAAUCAAAUGGAACCUGCACCCAGACCCCUUGUCCGGGGCUAGAAUCUCCGACAGUACCUAGAUCUGCAACAGCUUUUUGGUCCUUAAUUUCACACCAGCUGGACUCAGCUACCCUGAGACUAUAAAUCUGCUUUCCAGGUUAUAAGUAGAUAUGUAAUAUCACAAAGACUCAGAAACUAUAACAGAAAUUAAGAGAAAUAAAAAUGAUAAUUUUAAUACUUCUAUGUACACUUAGUAUGAAGUUUUAAUAUCUUAAUCUGCCUGUAUAGGUUAUUCGACACAUCUAAUCCUUUUAAGAUAAUCUGACAUUUUGUACUUGGGAUUUUAAUUUGAAAUGUUUAAUUAAUGUUUGUCUUGUGAUUUUCAUGAGAAAGUACUUACUUGGUUUACUAAUAGUAUUUGAAUGUUUAAAGUCAUCAGAUAUAUUAUAUCUCUAUACUUAUGAAGUCCUCAUCUCUACUAAAAAUAUAAAAAAUUAGCUGAGCAUGGUGGUGCAUGUCUAUAGUCCCAGCUUGAGAGGCUAAGGCAGAAGAAUUGCUUGAACCGAGGAGGCAGAGGUUGCAGUGAGCCGAGAUAGAGCCACUGCACUCCAGCCUGGGCAACACGGCAAGACUCUGUCUCAAAAAAAAAGAUAUAUAUAUUCAAGAUAUAUAAUGUGAUGUUUUCAUACAUAUAAAUACUGUGAAAUGACAAUUAAAAUCAAGCUAAUUAACAUAUCUAUUACUUUGGCUUUUUUUCUAAAUGGAGAGAUUAUUUAAGACCCACUUUCUUAGAGAAUUUCAAAUAUACAAUACAGCAUUAACUACAGUUACCUUGCUGUACAUUAGGUCUCCAGACUGUAUUAUUCAUCACCUUAAAACUGCAAGUUUG